GUACUAUUUAUUAUCGCGCACGUUCUAAUUCAAUUACAAUGGUUUUGUGUAAAAGGACUACGCUCGAGAGCGUACCGGGAUGCACAGUGGGGUGGAUAAGAAAGACACGGUGUGCACUUGUAAGAACCAGCAGCGACCGCGCAAACUCAUUAAUGAUCCUUCCGCAGGUUCACCUACGGAAA
rnacentral:misc_RNA from 1 species